rnacentral:tRNA from 1 species
AGUAAGGUGGCUGAUUAAUAGGCAAUAAAUUGUAAAUUUAUUUAUGGAUUUACUUCUUCUUACUA